rnacentral:lncRNA from 1 species
UCAAUGAGUUCUGGACAUAUGCGAGAUUUUGGCUCGCUCGCUCGCGCUCUCUCUCUCUCUCUUCCCAAACUGAAACCCUGACUCUAGAGGGAGAAUGGCUUCAAUUUCAUUAUCCUCACUGUCGGUACCAUUUUCGACCUUACCCAAUUCCUCCAUUAGUAAUUGCAGACCCGAGUUUUCUGUUCUCUCUUUGCCUUCCUCAAUUUCCUCAAAGUUACAUGCCCUGAAACCCUAUCGAGUUUCCCCUUCCAGAACUUUUGCUGUUCCUGAAGUUUUGGAAUCCAAUGCUGCUUCUGAGGUUUGUUUUGUUAUCGACUCAGUUAUAAUUAUGUUUGAUAAUUAUGCACUUUUCACAUGAUUGAAAUGAUUUUCUUUUUGGGUUUUCUGGGGUCUUAGGACGAGGCUCCUUCCUCUUCAGUGCCGAGUGUUGGUACAGAUUCUGAGAAAGUAACUUCUCUUUUCUUCUUAUUCACCUGCACGCUAUGUUCUUUGUAUUUGGUUAUUAAUAUUGCUUUUGCUAAAAUUAUAGUAGCAGGAUUAAUUAGUUGUUGAGUGACAUUGCGUAUCAAUUGCUGCUGUAAUUAUCUACUUUAUCCUAAUUACUAUGAGGUAGACCAGUAGAGAGAGAAUGGAGUUAUGAAAUGCAAUGGCUCCAAUUAAAACACUGUCACUUUUCAUUGAUGUCAAUGUAUUUGCCUUAACACGUUCAUAUCUAAUACUGAAUCAAUCAGUAUUCAGUGCGAAGAAUUGUCUGCUAUAGGAAUUUGGUUUCACAUGAGCUUUGUAUAUUACAUCCCAGGAGAACCUUCCGGGCCCCAUUUAGCAGGGCUUUUGAAAAGCCAAAAGCGAUUUUGAUACUAAGAAAUUGCUUUUGAACAUGGUUGAAUAGUUUUCUGAAAGUGUUUUGUGUGGUAGAGGGAAAACUGAUUCUACAAGAUGCAGAAGCAAAAAUAUCUUCAUGAUAUUUUAAAGUCUCGUAGGGAUUAUCAUCGUAUUUCCCUCUACUAUUAAAAGAGCGAAUGCUGCAAUCACUAUUCAUUUGUGAAGUAUUUUCUUUUCCUAUUUUGCCCUUGAAUGGACUGUUGAUUAAUGAGGCCAUGCAUGGAAAAAAAGGGCAAUAUGAAUAUUUCAUUCAUCUCUUUCACUUUGGGUUGGGUUGGGUUGUAAUGUACUGAAACCCUAGACUAUUCCCCGCCCCAAAAAAGGCCACAAAAAUUUUUCACUCAAAAUCCUCGUUCUGUGCUAUACAUUCACCUAAAACUCUUUGACUUCGAAGUUCUGCUAUGCGUAUCGCUCGCUGUUGGAUAGCUUGUAAAUUUUUGGGCUGGCAAAGAAGUGUAAUCUUGAAGAAGCCCAGAUGCUCGUGCAAAAACUACAUCAGUACCAAUUAGAAGGCUCGAAUUCCGUAUUUUUUUAGAGUUUGAUUUUGGCUAUGAUUAAUUGGUUAUCCGCGCUUCUGAGAUUUAUGAUACUUGAAGUAUGAGGUUGAAUAAUGGUUGAAUUUCUUGAUAUGAACUGAAACGUAAUUUAUGUUAUAUUUUUGUUUUAAAUUUUUAGAAUUUGAAUUUCCUCUUGAAUUUGUGUGGGCAGGGAUGACCAUUUUACAGCUUUUUAAUGCCGGUUCUGCUUCAGAAAAUUCUUGAUUGACAAAGCUGCUUAUUUCUGAGCCAUCCAUUUGUUUUCCACCACCCAUUUCCUUAAUGCCCCUGUUGUUUCCUUUCUCACACAAAAUUGCCUCCUCAACCUUUGGUGAAAAUCUAAAACAAAUAGAGGACAUCUCUACAGGAAAUUGUAGAGUCUCGACUCCAAGUAUAUUCUUCUCAUACAAGUUUUUUUUUUUUUUUUUUUUUUUUUUUUUUUUUUUUUUUUUUUUUUUUUGGUAUUUUAUUUAAUUUUUUUCGAACUCUAUUCUUCUAUGUUUGUUUCAAUUUUUGUGAAAGUUUCCCAAAAAUUCAGAAAACUUCAUGUUUAGUGCAGUUUAGGGUUAUAAGUGAUGGAAUUGAUGUCUCUAUGUUUAAGUUAGGUUAGAGUCCAUUGUUUCUUUUUUGGGGAUUAUAGUUAAUAUUUGUAGUUGUACAUCCAGAAUUUUUUGGUUCAUUGUUGUUUGGUUGAAAGUUUAUAGUGUUGGGCUUAUUUAUAUAUCUGCAUACGUCGUGUUUUAAUUUUUUUUUUUCCCCACUAUGAGUUCUCCUGUGCAUCAAGAAUUACAAACCUUAAAUCAAGAUUUUAUUGUUUACUGUUUACAAUUUUUUUGAUUCCGCGUUGUUUUGCUUAUUUUAUUUCUUCUAUUUAUAUGGAAAAAGAAGGAAAAAAUGUUCAAGGAUUUUGAUUAGUUUAUAAAUAUCUGAUUUCUUGUUUUUCGCUUCUAUGACCAUUGAUUAUUCUAUUAUUAUUUACUUUAAUGGGUGUAAGACUCAUUACAGAUUUUUUAGCAUAUUUUUUAAUUUUUUUACUAAAUUUAUGUGCAAAUAAAAUGAGAAAUUAUUUAAAUGGAAGUCUCCUAAUUUUCAUGCAAUGCCAUUUUGUUAGUGUGCAUUAGUCCUAUGCAAUUAUUCAAGUGAGUAAAUUAUUGAUGGAAGUGUGUACCUUUAACGUGCUUGAACUUCCAGUAUAUGCUGUUUAGUUUUUAUUCACUUUUUCAUUCUUCAUGGAUAAUUUAUUUAUUUAUUAUUAUUAUUUUUAUUAUUAUUAUUAUUAUUAAUUUUUUUUCCCAUUUUGCUAGACAUCUAGCCAUACUUAUGCUGAGGUGCAAAAUGUAUUCCAACUAUAGUUUUUCUUGUGAAAAGAAAUUUAAUAACACCACUUCUCCUAGGAUGUCUUAAAUAUAUAAUAUGUAGAAAUAGAAUUGUAUCUUGAUGUGAAACUUUCGAAUUAUAUUGUAAUUUAGGCAACAUUCUUUCUUUUAUACAGAUGUUUGCAUUGAAAUUUUGUGAUAGAGUUUCUUGUCAAUCCUUGACAUUUUUAAGACGUUAACAUUACCUUCAAAAUAACACAUCACGUGCAUUGCACGGCAAAAAACUAGUAUCUUUAAAAUUUGAAAUAAGGUUGGUGUACUGUCUAUUACAGAUUGAACACGUGCUUAAUGCAUUAUAUUAUUGAUCUACAAAUUGUGUAUAUUAUUUUAAUACUUUCACACACAUGUAUAUUUAAAUUAUUAGGAUGAAAUGGAAUUAGACAAGGGUGUGAGGAAGACAGAGGAGUCAUUGAAUGAUAUAGAGUGCUUGACGGCAUGUCUCGUAUAAUGUCCACAAAUUUGUGAACUAGGAUCAACUUACUAUGCGAACCAACAAUGCAUUUCUCUACCAGGGCAUGAUCGUAUACCAAUGGAGGUCGAAGAUAGGUCUCAUAAGGUCUAAAAAUAAUUGGGGUUAAAGGCUAUCAAUCUCCACACAGAUCAAUCCAAUGGAAGGAAGAUAAGGCAUACAAAUAAUUGGGUUAAAGGUGCCCCUCAUGGGGUGGUUGAGUUGAUAGAGUAGGUGAGCGCGGAAACCUUUGGUCACGAGUUCGAUUUUCCCCGCCAACACUUUCUCGAUCUAGCUUGUCGAAUCGAACUUGCCUAGUGUGGUGUACCUGGCUGUCACGAUUUACCAAUGGAGGUCGAAGAUAGGUCUCAUAAGGCCUAAAAAUAAUUAGGGUUAAAGGCUAUCAAUCUCCACAAAAAUCAAUCCAAUGGAGGUAGAAGAUAUGGCAUACAAAUAAUUGGGUUAAAGGCUAUCAAUUUCCACACAAAUCAAUUAUUAAGCCGUUUGAUUAUCUUUUCAUUGUAUUCACUUCAUUAUUAGCGCAUGUUGGCACUCAGUUUAUAUCCAUUCAUGGUUGGUCCCAUAAGUUUUAAUGUUUUGAUGUUCCUUUCAUUUUGUUCCAUGCAUACUGAUAUUCCUAUGAAUUUGGCAUGUCCAAAUAAUUGAGUGCUAUAUUUUUACAUUUUCUUGUUGGAUAUUGAAGAAUUUGCGCACUUUUGUUCGGGAAAUAUCUGUAUUUAGAUUGAAUUUUGGUCCAUCUGAUACUUAGAUCAAAGUUUUAGCUGAUGAGAUUCCAUAAUAUAGUCCUAUUGUAAAUUGCUGUAAAAAUCUUACGCAUUAAGCCCUUGUUUCGUAAAAUUUAAAACUCGUCAAAGUCAACAAUUAAUUUUAUCUACACAUUUUAUAGGACACACAACUUUUCAACAACACAUUUCAUUAACUUUUAUAAUAAUCUGCUAAAAAUUUGAUUUUAAUACCUAUCAAAUAGGGGAUAAAUAUUUAUUGUGGUAAAAUUACCAAAAUAUCUCCCCAUAGCUACAAAAAUCACAUUUCUUCAAUUUCAUUUGCCAAGUUUUGAUUAUAAAUAUGGCAUCGAAACUAUUCUUCAAGAAAACCAAUCUCAAGAAUUUUAUGCAAAUUCCUCUUGCUCUCUAGAAAUAAGAAUGACUACUUUACUUUGUCUUACUUUUCUCCUCUUUCCCUUGAGUCUGUCAAGGUAAAUAAUGUUAGCUAAAGCUGCUGAGAUUGACUUCAUCAUUUACUUGAUAUUCAAACACAAUACAAGAUUUUACACCUUGAUUAUCACACUGAAAUCCAACGUCUACAAAUAGCAAAGAAAUAAUCACACAUGGAUCACAUCUGCCCAUCAAUUUAUUUUAUAAUGAGAUGAUAACAGUAGGUCGAGUACACACAAUUUAAUCAUCGUCAAUCCAUGCAAGAUCAACGUUUGACAUCCAGUGACAUGCCUCACCUUUUCCAGGGGAGAAUUUCAAUAUCUUAGAAGCUACAUGAUUCUCAAGCCAUGUCGAGAUAUCCAUGUGACAAAUUGAGAUCACGAUUUUAACUGGGAGUCGAGUUUUGGCUUCAACCAUGUCUACAGCAUAGAGUCGAGAUGAUAGGAUUGAGUGACAGAAAUAGGCUGCAAAUGGAGGAUAAACUUCAUGACAGACAAUUAUUUUCUGCCUAUCAAAUUUCUUGAUUUUUUUUUAUCAUAAAAUCCCCUGUUUUUGUGCUUUGUGAAGCCAGUGCAAGUGACUUCUUGUUGCCUAAGGCGAAUUUUGAAAAACUAAUCAUUUCUCCAAGGGAUUUUGUGCAAUUCUUGAUUCCUCCAUUUAUAACUUCUGCAUUACAAUAAAAAAGGGUAGUUUCAAUGGAAUUUUUCAAUAGUUUAAAGGACUUGAGAAAUAUUUUUCUGAUGUUUUUUCUGUUGAUAGAAAUUUUUGAAGCUAUUUCUUGAGGGAGAAAUGCGCAAUUCGAAUAUUAAUUUCUGAAUCUAGGGCCUGAAGAAAGAAAAAUUGUCUAUCUUAGUGGGUUGAAUAGUUGAUGCAUACUUAUUGUAUACUUUGACCAGUUUGUAUACUUUGGUCAGUUCCAGGAAUUUUUCAUAUUCAAAUGAGCAAGUGAGUUUUGCUAUUGAGCAAAAACUGGAAUUUUCUGAGAAUUCAUUUUUGGACAUCAUUUUAAUGUAAUAAUUCCGAUCCUUUUUUGUUAAUGGGGAUAGCUUUUUGAAAACAGAUUUAAACAUUUGGUUUUACACAUUUUCUGACCAGAACUUGAUAUGGUCGAAAGCGAUGGAUGAUAUACGGACUUGAGUUGACACAAAAGAAGUGAAGUAAAGACAAAAGAUCAAGAGAAAGAGGAGAAAAGUAGCCUUUUUUUUAUGACGAGGGAACUAGCGGAAUUGAGUGUAAUGCUAGAAACCCAAGAAAGUGUUUCCAAUCUAUGUAAUUGUUUAAUCUGAAAAGCAUGGCGUUAAAAUGAGUAAAGGCUAAUGGAAAACUUUGAGGAAGUGGUAGACGGAGGAUUUUGAGUCUACAAAUCUCAUUGGAUCUCUAUCAAAUGCGAGGAAUUCAUAUAUUUCUUCUAUUGUCGGAAAAGUUUUGUGAACUUUUCAAGAGUAUUUGCAUUUAGGCCAUCUCCAUUGCUAAGGGCAUCCUUGAUUUCUUUGUGCAAAACGCCAAGUGAUUUGAGUACAAUUGCUGUGGUUUGGGACUUUAUGGUGUCGAGAAUGAAAAUCUGGGAAGCUGGACCGAAUCUAUCCCUUAUCCUGGUUGUUGAAUUAAUGUCUUGUCAAGGAGAUUUUCGAUUGAUGGCAACAUAUCCAAAGAGAGCUUCAACAAGAUGGCCAUUGUUGACCUCGCAAAUUGGACUUCCACGUGGUCAACCAAGAGCCACUCCACGUGUUCCUCCCUGCACACAACAACAUAUGGUCAGGAGCACACUGUCGGAACCAACGAGGGUGGUGGCAAUCAAAUACACUCCGACGGUCAAGUCAGUGGUCGAUGAUCGGAACGAUACCGAAAUCGUGCAAGAGAGUGAGGAGAAUAUGAUGCUUGAAGCUUGUGAACUAAGAUCAACUUACUAUGCGGACCAACAAUGCAUUUCUCUACCAGGGCAUGAUCGCAUACCAAUGGAGGUCGAAGAUUGGUCUCAUAAGGCCUAAAAAUAAUUGGGGUUAAAGGCUAUCUAUCUCCACACAAAUCAAUCCAAUGGAGGUAGAAGAUAAGGCAUACAAAUAAUUGGAAUAAAGGCGUCCCUCAUGGGAUGAUCGAGUUGGUGGAGUAGGUGAGCGCGGAGGCCGUUGGUCACAAGUUCGAUUCUCCCCACCAACACUUUUUUGAGUCGCACCAGACUUGUCUAGUGCAGUUUACCUGUCUGGCACGAUUUACCAAUGGAGGUUGAAGAUAGGUCUCAUAAAGCCUAAAAAUAAUUAGGGUUAAAGGCUAUCAAUCUCCACACAAAUCAAUCCAAUGGAGGUAGAAGAUAGGGCAUACAAAUAAUUGGGUUAAAGGCUAUCAAAUUUCACACAAAUCAAUUAUUAAGCCGUUUGCUUAUCCUUUUAUUGUAUUCACUUCAUUAUUAGUGCAUGUUGGCACCCAUAAAUUUUAAUGUUUUGAUGUUCCUUUCAUUUUGUCCCAUGCAUAUUGAUAUUCCUAUGAAUUUGGCAUGUCCAAAUAAUUCAGUGCUACAUUUUUACAUUUUUUUUUUUUUUGGAUAUUGAAGAAUUUGCGCACUCUUGUUCGAGAAAUCUUUGUAUUUAGAUUGAAUUUUGGUCCAUCUGAUAAUUAGAUCAAGGUUUUAGAUGAUGAGGUUCCAUAAUACAGUCCUACUGUAAAUUGCUAUAAAAAUCUUAUUCAUUAAACCCUUGUUUCGUAAAAUUUAAAACUCGUCAAAGCCAACAAUUAAUUUUAUCCACACAUUUUAUGGGACCCACCAUUUUUCAACCACACAUUUCAUUAACUCUUAUCAAAUUCUGCUAAAAAAUUGAUUUUAAUGCCCACCAAAUAGGGGCUAAAUAUUUAUUGUGGUAAAAUUACCAAAAUAUCCCCCAUAGCCACAAAAAUCACAUUUCUUCAAUUUCACUUGCCAAGUUUUGAUUUUAAAUAUGGCCUUGAAACUAUCCUUCAUGUAAAUAUCUUGAGGAUUUUAUCUGAAUUCCUCUUGCUCUCUAAAAAUAAGAAUGGCUACUUUUUUUUUGCCCUUCAUGGAGUGGUCGAGUUGGUGGAGUAAGUGAGCGCGGAAACCUUUGAUCAUGAGUUCGAUUUUCUCUACCAACACUUUCUCGGUCGAGCCUGUCACACAGGACUUGCCUAGUGCGAUUUACUUGGCUAGCGUUAGCUAUUGCGUCAGUUCAAGGGUUUAUUCAGUGCACACCCGAAAGGUAGCGGUUGCGGGUUCCUCCGUCAUAAAAAUAAAAUAAUAAUAAAAAUAAAAAAUGGCUACUUUACGUUGUCUUACUUUUCUCCUCUUUCACUUGAUCUUUUAUCUUUACUUCACUUCUUUUGCGUCGACUCAAGUCCCUACAUCAUCCAUCACUUCCGAUCAGAUCAAGUUCUGGUCAGAAAAUGUGCAAAACCAAAUGUUAGAAUCUGUUUUCAAAAAGCUAUCCCCAUUAACAAAAAAUGAUUGGGAUUAUUACACUAAAAUGAUGACCAAAAAUGAAUUCUCAGAAAAUCCCAAUUUUUGCUCAAUAGCAAAACUGUCUUGCUCAUCUGAAUAUGAAAAUUUCCUAGAACUGGCCAAAGUAUACAAAAUGGUCAAAGCAUACAAUAAGUAUGCAUCAACUAUUCAACCCACUAGCGUAGACAAUUUUUCUUUCUUCAGGCUCUAAAUCCUUAGAGAAUGAAAUAUAUUCCAUAUCCUAGAUUCAGAAAUUAAUAUUCCGAAUCGAGCAUUUCUCCCUCAAGAAAUAGCUUCAAAAAUUUCUAUCAGCAGAAGAAACAUCAGAAAAAUAUUUCCCAAAUCCUUUAAACUACCGAAAAAUUCCGUUGAAACUACCUUUUUUUAUUGUAAUGCAAAAGUUAUAAAUGGAGGAAUCAAGAAUUACACAAAAUACCUUGAAGAAAUGAUUAGUUUUUCAAAAUUCACCUUAGACAACAAGAAGUUACUUGCACUAGCUUCACAAAGCACAAAAACUGGGGAUUUUAUGAUAAAAAAGAUCAAGAAAUUUGAUAGGCAGAAAACAAUUGUUUGUCAUGAAGUUUAUCUUUCAUUUGCAGCCUAUUUCUACCACUCAAUCCCAUCAUCUCGACUCUAUGCUGUAGACUUGGUUGAAGCCAAAACUCGACUUCCAAUUAAAACCGUGAUCUCAAUUUGUCACAUGGAUACCUCGGCAUGGACUGAGAAUCAUGUAACUUCUAAGAUACUGAAAUUCUCCCCUGGAGAAGGCGAGGCAUGCCACUGGAUGUCGAACGUUGAUCUUGCAUGGAUGGCGAUGAUUAGAUUGUGUGUACUCGACCUACUGCUAUCAUCUCAUUAUAAAAUAAAUUGAUGGGCGGAGAUGAUCCAUGUGUGAUUAUUUCUUUGCUAUUUGUAUAUGUUGAAUUUCAGUGUGAUAAUCAAGGUGUAAAAUCUUGUAUUGUGUUUGAAUAUCAAGUAAAUGAUGAAGUCAAUCUCAGUAGCUUUGGCUAACAUUAUUUAUCUUGACAGACUCAAGGGAAAGAGGAGAAAAGUAAGAAAAUGUAAAGUAGUCAUUCUUAUUUCUAGAGAGCAAGAGGAAUUUGCAUAAAAUCCUCAAGAUAGGUUUCCCUGAAGAAUAGUUUCGAGGCCAUAUUUAUAAUCAAAACUUGGCAAGUGAAAUUGAAGAAAUGUGAUUUUUGUAGCUAUGGGGGGGAUAUUUUGGUAAUUUACCACAAUAAAUAUUUAGCCCCUAUUUGGUGGGCAUUAAAAUCAAUUUUUAGCAGAUUUUAAUAAAAGUUAAUAAAAUGUGUUGUUGAAAAGUUGUGGAUCCCAUAAAAUGUGGGGAUAAUGUUAAUUGUUGACUUUGACGAGUUUUAAAUUUACGAAAUAGGGGCUUAAUGCGUAAAAUUUUUACAGCAAUUUACAGUAGGACUGUAUUAUGAGACCUCAUCAUCUAAAACCUUGAUUUAAUUAUCCGAUGGACCAAAAUUCAAGCUAAAUACAGAGAUUUCUUGAACAAAGAUGCGCAAAUUCUUCAAUAUCCAACAAGAAAAUGUAGCACUUAAUUAUUUGGACAUGCCAAAUUCAUAGGAAUAUCAGUAUGCAUGGGACAAAAUGAAAGGAACAUUAAAACUUAUGGGACCAACCAUAAAUGGAUAUAAACUGAGUGCCAACAUGCGCUAAUAAUGAAGUGAAUACAAUAAAAAGAUGAGCAAAUGGCUUAAUAAUUGAUUUGUGUGGAAAUUGAUAGCAUUUAACCCAAUUAUUUGUAUGCCCUAUCUUCUACCUCCAUUGGAUUGAUUUUUGUGGAGAUUGAUAGCCUUUAACCCUAAUUAUUUUUAGACCUUAUGAGACCUAUCUUCGACCUCCAUUGGUAAAUUGUGCUAGCCAGGUAAAUCGCACUAGGCAAGUUCGGUGCGACAGGUCGAUCGAGAAAGUGUUGGUAGGGAGAAUCGAACUUGUGACCAAAGGCCUCCGCGUUCACCUACUCUAACUCAACCACCCCACGAGGGGCGCCUUUAACCUAAUUAUUUGUAUGCUCUUCACUCCAUUGGAUUGAUUUGUGUGGAGAUUGAUAGCAUUUAAUUCCAAUUAUUUUUGGGCCUUGUGAGACCUAUCUUCGACCUCCAUUGGCAUGCGAUCAUGCCCUGGUAGAGAGAUGCAUUUUUGGUCCGCAUAGUAAGUUGAUCUUAGUUCACAAAUUUGUGGACAUUAUACAAGACAUGCCGUCAAGCACUCUAUAUCAUUUAGUGACUCCUCCGUCUCCCUCACACCCUUGUCUAAUUCCAUUUCAUCCUAAUAAUUUAAAUAUACAUAUGUGUGUGUGAAAGUAUUAAAAUAAUAUACACAAUUUGUAGAUCAAUAAUAUAAUGCAUUAAGCGCGUGUUCAAUCUAUAAUAGACAGUACACCAACCUUAUUUCAACUUUUAAAGAUAAAUACGUAUUGAAAUUUUGAGGUAAUAUGGUACUAUGUACAUUUUAUAAAUAUUAUUUAGAAAAAAUGCAAAAUAAUUNNNNNNNNNNNNNNNNNNNNNNNNNNNNNNNNNNNNNNNNNNNNNNNNNNNNNNNNNNNNNNNNNNUUGAAUUAUAACAUUGUAUAUUAUUAUUAUUAGGUGGCCACGGUUGUCACAUUACGUUACUAUAAUAUUUUGCAAAAUGGACCACAAGUCCUUUUCACACUAUUGAAUUCUAUUAAAGCAUCCAAUCAGAAUUUAAACACCUUUCCUUUACUUCAUAAGCGUGGUAAGUAUGGUAAAAUUGCGUGGGUUGCAGGUGUUGACGGGGAUGAGUGAGUAAUAGUUGGUUGGAGGAGGUGAUUUACUAAUAUUAUUUUUUUAAAUUUUUUCUAGUUGUUAAUAUGUAUUUGAUUGUUUUAAUUGAGACACUUUUUAAAAAGUUAUGUGAUUUGAAUUGCAAUUUUUCUUAUUUUUUGUGUGGAAAUUGAUAACCUUUAAUCCAAUUAUUUGUAUGCCUUACCUUCUACCUCCAUUGGAUUGAUUUGUGUAGAGAUUGAUAGCCUCUAACCCCAAUUUUUUUUUAGGCUUUAUGAGACCUAUUUUCGACCUCCAUUGGUAUGCGAUCAUGCCCUGAUAGAGAAAUGCGUUGUCGGUCCGCAUAGUAAGUUGAUCUUCUAAAUUUUAACGAACAAGUUGAUCAACAAACAAUCAGUCUCCAACUAUGAAAAUCGUUUAAAUUAUAAUUAAAUCAUUAUGAAAAUUAGCCUCACUUCAAAUUUGUAGGCCCAGCCUACGUGAUGAUUUAACAAAUAUUUUGGCCUUUUUUAUUUCAUUAGUUGACACGCACGUUGCAUUUAUAAAAUUGGAACAAUGAGUGACUUAGGCUAUUAUAUAGUAGAAAUGUGCUACAUGUAUAGAAAUUUUCCUCACAAAAAUCUUACAGACAAGACAUAGCAGGGCGUGGGUGGUUUAUUUUUUGCAAUAAAAUAUUCACAUGGGUCCCACCCCAUGUAAAAUUUCUGUGAGGCUUUUGUAAGGGAGAUUUUCGUAUCUUCAGUUUUUAUUGUAUAUAGUAAAUGUGUAUGGAUAUGGUGAUAGAAGAAUUAUGAAUGAUUCACACAUAUAUCUCACGCGGAAUAAUUAUGGCAUACCUUAAAUAAGAACCUCAAGUUGGAAAUAACAGAUGGAUGAUUUUUGUACUGAAAGGAGCACGCAUAUAGAAACGGCAACAGAGAAAAGGUUUUGGGAACAUGAGAUAAAUGCUUUUCUUCCGAUAAUUCUUUUUAUCAAUCAAGGUAGAAUUACGAGGUGCAAGUGGUUGGUCCCGUUUGAUUUAUUUCUUCAUGUUAAUAAAUAUUAUGUUAAUCAAAGUUAUGGUAUGAUAUGGUAUGACCAUCCAAUACCAAAGAUAUGAUAUGUAUUGAAUUCUUAUCGAUUUCUAAAUAUAUAAUAAUGGUAUGAUAUUUUUGACACAUGAUUUAAUAUUUUUAUUUGGGACUGUACCGUUAUUCGUUUUCUACUGAGUAUUUCCGUGUACUCACAAUUUCUCCUACCCCUCAUAGGUUAUAAUGGGUCGUUGGUUGGUGGGUG